rnacentral:rRNA from 1 species
GCUACGGGUGGCAGCAGUGGGGAAUAUUGCACAAUGGGGGAAACCCUGAUGCAGCGACGCCGCGUGAGCGAAGAAGUACUUCGGUAUGUAAAGCUCUGUCAGCAGGGAAGAAAAUGACGGUACCUGAUUAAGAAGCCCCGGCUAAAUACGUGCCAGCAGCCGCGGUAAUACGUAGGGGGCAAGCGUUAUCCGGAUUUACUGGGUGUAAAGGGAGCGUAGACGGCAGAACAAGUCUGCAGUGAAAUGCCGGGGCGCAACCCCGGGACUGCUUUGGAAACUGAGCAGCUAGAGUGCAGGAGAGGUAAGUGGAAUUCCUAGUGUAGCGGUGAAAUGCGUAGAUAUUAGGAGGAACACCAGUGGCGAAGGCGGCUUACUGGACUGUAACUGACGCUGAGGCUCGAAAGCGUGGGUAGCGAACAGGAUUAGAUACCCUGGUAGUC